rnacentral:rRNA from 1 species
UACGUAGGAUGCAAGCGUUAUCCGGAAUUAUUGGGCGUAAAGAGCUCGUAGGCGGUUUGUCGCGUCUGCUGUGAAAACUGGAGGCUCAACCUCCAGCCUGCAGUGGGUACGGGCAGACUAGAGUGCGGUAGGGGAGAUUGGAAUUCCUGGUGUAGCGGUGGAAUGCGCAGAUAUCAGGAGGAACACCGAUGGCGAAGGCAGAUCUCUGGGCCGUAACUGACGCUGAGGAGCGAAAAGCAUGGGGAGCGAACAGG